CGAGCCCUACUAUGUUUGUGUAUUACCCUAUAAAGUUUUGAGCUAACACUUUUGAAGAGGGAGUCUGGUCUCUGCUUGCGGCGCAUAUGCCUUAAAUCCAAGGACAUGUAAAGCAGGCAGGAGGACACCCACCUGUGGGGAGAGCAGUUCAAAACUGAGGGUCGCUCACGGCAUGGUGGGGUAUUA
rnacentral:other from 1 species